GCCCUACGGGAGGCAGCAGUCGGGAAUAUUGCGCAAUGGAGGAAACUCUGACGCAGUGACGCCGCGUAUAGGAAGAAGGUUUUCGGAUUGUAAACUAUUGUCGUGAGGGAAGAAAUUGACAGUACCUCAGGAGGAAGCUCCGGCUAACUAUGUGCCAGCAGCCGCGGUAAUACGUAGGGGGCAAGCGUUAUCCGGAUUUACUGGGUGUAAAGGGAGCGUAGACGGCAAUACAAGUCGGAAGUGAAAUACCCGGGCUCAACCUGGGAACUGCUUUGGAAACUGUAUGGCUGGAGUGCUGGAGAGGU
rnacentral:rRNA from 1 species